rnacentral:lncRNA from 1 species
CUAAAGAAAGUGUUGCACACUUUUAAUUUUCUUUGUUAAUUGGUGUUAUAAAUUCUGUGAAAAGUUGAAGUUUUAGUGAUGUGUUCAAAUGUUUUUACUCUUAUAUACACCACGUCAGAAUGUGCCUAAACAAUUUGCAAUUGCAAAUGGUCUCAUCAACAAGAAGUGUGGGUUGAUUGUAAGAGAUGAAAGACAAAGGUCGUGAAUUUAAAGAUAAGUUCCAGUAGUACUUGAUCCUAUAUUGGUGGUGGAUUUCAUAAAUUCAUUGCUGAAAAUUGUUUAAAGGAGGG